ACAUAUCUCUAGUUUGUGUGUGAAUCGAACCCCAUCUCACCUCGACCGUCCAUUUUCACGGCCAUCCAAUGGUGUUAGAUUCACGCACAAACUCGUGAUCUGUCU
rnacentral:pre_miRNA from 1 species